rnacentral:misc_RNA from 1 species
GGUUGGUACUAAACCAUGGCUGUGCAUUCAACAAAAACAUUAAGCUGAUGUAGAGGAGAUCUCUUGGAAUCUUCAGUUGCCAAAAUUUGUGCCACCUUGUUUCCUUCGCGGAAACUAUGCCAGCUUGGAGGAUUCCCUAGUUUCUUCAUAAGGCACCACACGAUCAGAUGCACCCUUUCCAUUCAAUUUUUGUGUUUCAAGAGUAAGAAGGCUGAGAUCUUCCAAGAGUCCAUCAACACCAGCUUUGCUCACAGAAUUCUCCCCCUCAGCAUUCUCUUUCAUUGUGUCAGAAGUACCUUUGCCGAGAUCGCCCAAGCUUCUAUCAACAGUGGCUCCAC